rfam:Schistosoma curassoni strain Dakar, Senegal genome assembly, scaffold: SCTD_scaffold0003798
ACCCAGCUGACGAUUCCCAGACAGGGCGAAACGCGCGUCCUGGAU